AAUGAACGCUGGCGGCGUGCUUAACACAUGCAAGUCGAACGAGAAAGUACCUUCGGGUGCGAGUAGAGUGGCGCACGGGUGAGUAACACGUGGAUUACCUACCUAUAGGUGGGGGAUAACCAGGAGAAAUCCUGGCUAAUACCGCAUAUCUUGGCAACAAGAAAGGAUGCUUCGGCAUUCGCCAAUAGAUGGGUCCGCGGGACAUUAGCUUGAUGGUGGGGUAAUGGCCUACCAUGGCAACGAUGUCUAGCUGGUCUGAGAGGAUGAUCAGCCACACUGGAACUGAGACACGGUCCAG
rnacentral:rRNA from 1 species